rnacentral:rRNA from 1 species
GAUGAACGCUAGCGAUAGGCUUAACACAUGCAAGUCGAGGGGCAGCAUGGUCUUAGCUUGCUAAGACUGAUGGCGACCGGCGCACGGGUGCGUAACGCGUAUGCAACUUGCCUCACAGAGGGGGAUAACCCGUCGAAAGACGGACUAAUACCGCGUACACUUGGGAUAGGGCAUCCUGACCCAAGGAAAUGAAAUUCGCUGUGAGAUAGGCAUGCGUCCCAUUAGCUAGUUGGUGAGGUAACGGCUCACCAAGGCGACGAUGGGUAGGGGAACUGAGAGGUUGAACCCCCACACUGGUACUGGGACACGGACCAGACUCCUACGGGAGGCAGCAGUGAGGAAUAUUGGUCAAUGGGCGAGAGCCUGAACCAGCCAAGUCGCGUGAAGGAUGACUGUCUUAUGGAUUGUAAACUUCUUUUAUACGGGAAUAACAAGAGCCACGUGUGGCUCCCUGCAUGUACCGUAUGAAUAAGCAUCGGCUAACUCCGUG